CCUACGGGAGGCUGCAGUGAGGAAUAUUGGUCAAUGGACGAGAGUCUGAACCAGCCAAGUAGCGUGAAGGAUGACUGCCCUAUGGGUUGUAAACUUCUUUUAUAAAGGAAUAAAACGAGGCACGUGUGCCUUUUUGCAUGUACUUUAUGAAUAAGGAUCGGCUAACUCCGUGCCAGCAGCCGCGGUAAUACGGAGGAUCCGAGCGUUAUCCGGAUUUAUUGGGUUUAAAGGGAUCGUAGAUGGGGUGUUAAGUCAGUUGUUAAAGUUUGCGGCUCAACCGUAAAAUUGCAAUUGAUACUGGCAGUCUUGAGUAAGGUUGAGGUAGGCGGAAUUCGUGGUGUAGCGGUGAAAUGCUUAGAUAUCACGAAGAACCACGAUUGCGAAGGCAGCUUACUAAACUGUGACUGACAUUGAUGCUCGAAAGUGUGGGUAUCAAACAGGAUUAGAUACCCGAGUAGUC
rnacentral:rRNA from 1 species